rnacentral:rRNA from 1 species
UACGUAGGGUGCGAGCGUUAAUCGGAAUUACUGGGCGUAAAGCGUGCGUAGGCGGUUCGUUAAGUUCGUUGUGAAAGUCCAGGGCUCAACCCUGGGAUGCCGGUGGAUACUGUCGGGCUCGAGUCCGGAAGAGGCGAGUGGAAUUCCUGGUGUAGCGGUGAAAUGCGCAGAUAUCAGGAGGAACACCAAUGGCGAAGGCAGCUCGCUGGGACGUGACUGACGCUGAGACGCGAAAGCGUGGGGAGCAAAUGGG